rnacentral:rRNA from 1 species
AUUGAACGCUGGCGGCAGGCCUAAAACAUGCAAGUCGAACGAGAGGCGUGCGGGUGAGUAAUGUCUGGGAAACUGCCCGAUAUAGGGGGAGAACUACUUGUAACGAUGGCUAAUAGCGCAAACCAUCGGAUUGGCCCAGAUGGGUUAUGCGAGUGGGUGGGGUAACGGCUCACCUAGUCGACGAACCCUAGCUGGUCUGAGAGGAUGACCAGCCAUACUGGAACUGAGACACGGUCCAGAGUCCUACGGGGGGCAGCAGUGGGGAAUAUUGCACAAUGGGCGCAAGCCUGAUGCAGCCAUGCCGCGUGUAUGAAGAAGGCCUUCGGGUUGUAAAGGACUUUCAGCGAGGAGGCGUUACUCGCAGAAGAAGCACCGGCUAACUCCGUGCCAGCAGCCGCGGUAAUAC